rnacentral:lncRNA from 1 species
GUAGGUGGGAAGUAGUUGUGAGCAAGACUUACGGCCUCACGGUGAUGGGAACAGGAAGGUUCAGCUGCCAGAUGCACACAGAGUAGUCAGCAGCGCGGCCCUGGGCUCUCAGGCUUGGGGUGAAACCCUGAUCUCCCCAUUUCCAGCCACGUGGCCUUGCUCACCUCUCCAGCCUGGGUCUAUCUGUGGAAUGGGAUGCGGUGGUGCCGACGCCACGGGGCUGUUAUAAAAAUGCUCGUUUCAGCUUGGAACUUACACCGGCCCUCCCCGUGCUCCCUGAGUGGCUGCUGUGCUGGGCCUGAGGGCUGCUUGCUCCUUCCCUCACUGUUCCCAAGCUGUCGGCUGCCCUCUGAGGUCUUCAUUUGGGGGCGGUUGUACUGAGACGUCUGCGGACUCAGGCUCCGCGAGGGUGCGUUCUCCUGGGGUCUCAGCUCCUUGGUCUGACGAGUUGUGCAAAUUUUACAAGAAUUUCCUUCUGGAAAUUGCUUAGGGAAAGGUAGGAAUAUUAUUUUUAAAUUUAACAGAUAAUGCCAAAUUUCCAACCCAAAAGCUGUGCCGGUUUGCACUCCCAGGGAGAGUAAGCACCCAUCCCCCACACCCUCCCUAUACCGAGUGGUCUCAGGCGGUUUCGUCUUUUCCCAGUAACAUGAGGUCAGCCUCCUGGAGAGGGGAGAAGCCCUGACUCCACCGUCCCCAAGUCCCCAAACUUCCCCUUCUUCAAUGUCCCAUUCCCCUCCUCAAAUCAUUCAGUGGCUGCAUGUGUACCAGGAGUGCCGGGUUCCUUCAUGCUUGGCCUUUAAGGCCAUUCUGGACUCCUCCCCGCCCACCCAACACACACAUUGACUACUUUUUUUAAUUUUUUUUUUGAAGAGACAGGGUCUCACCAUGUUGCCCAAGCUGGCCUCAAACUCCUGGGCUCAAGUCUCCCCAGUAGCUGGAACCCCAUGCUGCCACAGGGCAGCACUUACAUUGGCACCUUACCUGCCCUCUGGCUGGCACCCUCUCUGCCCCUCUGCCUCUGCUCUGCUGGGUGAUGGAUUCCCUGCUUCCCCAGGCAAGAGGCCUCCUCUGUCCUCCACUCCUGUGCCUGGUGCCCUGAUGGGUAACCCUGACAAUACGGAACUCUCUGUGCUUACCUCUGUCUCCCACAUGAGACUUUGAGUCUAGCCCUCCGAUUCCUAUUCAACUGACUACUGUUCACAUUUCUACCCCAGGGCCUAUUUAAACUCCUGACAUGCAGUCAGCACUCAGAUGUUUGACGGGCAAGUGAGCAAACGAACAAAUGAAUGAAUAAGUGCCUUAGAACACUCAAGGCAGAUACACGUGGGCAGAAAUGAACUUCCAGAGGCCGCCACAGCCUCAGUCGUUUCCUGUUGCAAUAUUGUCUAUGGAAUGGCUGAGCCAAGAACUGAAAGGUUCCGGUUCCUCUCCCCGGAGUUUGGACAGCACCAAGCUGUAGCAGUAGGGUCGUAUGCAACACAGAGAAGGCCAUUUCUGUGGGAGAUGCUUCCAGUGGAACUUUGGAGUCUGGGCUGAGCUUGUCGACAAGGGUCUUGAGCCUGUUGUUUAUUAGAAUUUGGCUGCAGGGUUAGCUCUUCCUCUGACAUGGUUCAUCCCAUUCAUCAGAUGAGUAAGGAGUUGUCCCCGGACUAUAGACCUGCGCUGACAUCUCUUGCACAGUAAAGAAAAGGAAAAAUUCAUAGUUGUAUGUUGUGGUUUUCAGUAUCUUUAGUUUACAAGCCAACUGUUUAUCACAUCAGGACAUUGAUCUAUAAAUAAAUUUGAAAGCAGUGAUACAUCUGGGCCUUCGCGGGCCUCCAGUUGAGGCAAUGAUCUAUAAAUAUGUUUGUCUGUGUCGCUGAUCUUUUGUUAUUAAUGUUGCGGCUUUCAUCGUGGUUAUCAAUCUCACCCUGAUUACCAGAGUCUUUGCAAAACACUUUGUUCCCUGACCAGGCCUCG